rnacentral:rRNA from 1 species
AGAUUGAACGCUGGCGGCAUGCCUUACACAUGCAAGUCGAACGGCAGCACGGGAGCAAUCCUGGCGGCGAGUGGCGAACGGGUGAGUAAUACAUCGGAACGUGCCCAAUCGUGGGGGAUAACGCAGCGAAAGCUGUGCUAAUACCGCAUAAGAUCUACGGAUGAAAGCAGGGGAUCGCAAGACCUUGCGCGAAUGGAGCGGCCGAUGGCAGAUUAGGUAGUGGUGAGGUAAGGCUCACCAAGCCUUCGAUCUGUAGCUGUCUGAGAGGACGACCAGCCACACUGGACUAGAGACACCGGCCCAGACUCGACGGAGGCAGCAGGUAGGGGUAA